AUGACGAGUGGCGGACGGGUGAGUAAUGCUUGGGAACUUGCCUUUGCGAGGGGGAUAACAGUUGGAAACGACUGCUAAUACCGCAUAAUGUCUUCGGACCAAACGGGGCUUAGGCUCCGGCGCAAAGAGAGGCCCAAGUGAGAUUAGCUAGUUGGUAAGGUAACGGCUUACCAAGGCGACGAUCUCUAGCUGUUCUGAGAGGAAGAUCAACCACACUGGGACUGAGACACGGCCCAGACUCCUACGGGAGGCAGCAGUGGGGAAUAUUGCACAAUGGGGGAAACCCUGAUGCAGCCAUGCCGCGUGUGUGAAGAAGGCCUUCGGGUUGUAAAGCACUUUCAGUUGUGAGGAAAAGUUAGUAGUUAAUACCUGCUAGCCGUGACGUUAACAACAGAAGAAGCACCGGCUAACUCCGUGCCAGCAGCCGCGGUAAUACGGAGGGUGCGAGCGUUAAUCGGAAUUACUGGGCGUAAAGCGCACGCAGGCGGUUUGUUAAGCUAGAUGUGAAAGCCCCGGGCUCAACCUGGGAUGGUCAUUUAGAACUGGCAGACUAGAGUCUUGGAGAGGGGAGUGGAAUUCCAGGUGUAGCGGUGAAAUGCGUAGAUAUCUGGAGGAACAUCAGUGGCGAAGGCGAC
rnacentral:rRNA from 1 species